rnacentral:snRNA from 1 species
GUGCUCACUUCGGCAGCACAUAUGCUAAAAUUGGAAUGAUACAGAGGAGAUUAGCAUGGCCCCUAGAAAACAAACAAACAAACAAAAAUCUAUACUGAAUU